CGAGCGUCAUUACACCACUCAAGCCUCGCUUGGUUUUGGAGGAUGCGGUCCGCCGCACCUCUCAAAUCCUCCGGCUGAGUUCACCGUCUCUUAGCGUUGUGGCAAGUCUUUUCGCUUCUGAGAUCGGUGGUGCUCACGCCGUUAAACCCUUCUAUUCAAAGGUUGACCUCGGAUCGGGUGGGAAUACCCGCUGAACUUAA
rnacentral:misc_RNA from 1 species